GAGGAAUAUUGGACAAUGGGUGGAAGCCUGAUCCAGCCAUCCCGCGUGAAGGAUGACGGUCCUAUGGAUUGUAAACUUCUUUUGUACAGGGAUAAACCUGCCCUCGUGAGGGCAGCUGAAGGUACUGUACGAAUAAGCACCGGCUAACUCCGUGCCAGCAGCCGCGGUAAUACGGAGGGUGCGAGCGUUAUCCGGAUUUAUUGGGUUUAAAGGGUCCGUAGGCGGGCCUGUAAGUCAGUGGUGAAAUCUCAUAGCUUAACUAUGAAACUGCCAUUGAUACUGCAGGCCUUGAGUAAAUUUGAAGUGGCUGGAAUAAGUAGUGUAGCGGUGAAAUGCAUAGAUAUUACUUAGAACACCGAUUGCGAAGGCGGGUCACUAAGAUUUAACUGACGCUGAUGGACGAAAGCGUGGGGAGCGAACA
rnacentral:rRNA from 1 species